rnacentral:rRNA from 1 species
CGCGUGAGUGAAGAAGGCCUUCGGGUUGUAAAGCUCUUUCAGCCGGGAAGAAAGCGCACUCUCUAACAUAGGUGUGGAUGACGGUACCGGAAGAAGAAGCACCGGCUAACUACGUGCCAGCAGCCGCGGUAAUACGUAGGGUGCGAGCGUUAAUCGGAAUUACUGGGCGUAAAGGGUGCGCAGGCGGUUUUGUAAGACAGAUGUGAAAUCCCCGGGCUUAACCUGGGAACUGCGUUUGUGACUGCAAGGCUAGAGUACGGCAGAGGGGGUGGAAUUCCGCGUGUAGCAGUGAAAUGCGUAGAUAUGCGGAGGAACACCGAUGGCGAAGGCAACCCCCUGGGCCUGUACUGACGCUCAUGCACGAAAGCGUGGGGAGCAAACAGGAUUAGAUACCCUGGUAGUCCACGCCCUAAACGAUGUCAACUAGUCGUUCGGAGCAGCAAUGCACUGAGUGACGCAGCUAACGCGUGAAGUUG